rnacentral:rRNA from 1 species
AACGUAGGAGACAAACGUUAUCCGGAGUUACUGGGCGUAAAGGGCGUGUAGGCGGUCUGUUAAGUCUGGCGUGAAAGCUCUCGGCUAAACCGGGAGAGGUCGUUGGAUACUGGCAAACUAGAGGACGGUAGAGGCGUGUGGAAUUCCGGGUGUAGUGGUGAAAUGCGUAGAGAUCCGGAGGAACACCAGUGGCGAAGGCGACACGCUGGGCCGUACCUGACGCUAAAGCGCGACAGCAUGGGGAGCAAACGGG